UACGUAGGGUGCGAGCGUUGUCCGGAAUUAUUGGGCGUAAAGAGCUCGUAGGCGGUUUGUCGCGUCGGCCGUGAAAACUUGGGGCUUAACCCCAAGCCUGCGGUCGAUACGGGCAGACUUGAGUUCGGCAGGGGAGACUGGAAUUCCUGGUGUAGCGGUGAAAUGCGCAGAUAUCAGGAGGAACACCGGUGGCGAAGGCGGGUCUCUGGGCCGAUACUGACGCUGAGGAGCGAAAGCGUGGGGGGCGAACAGG
rnacentral:rRNA from 1 species